rnacentral:tRNA from 1 species
CGGGGCGUAGCUCAGUCUGGUCUAGAGCGCACGGUUCGGGACCGUGAGGUCGGCCGUUCGAAUCGGCUCGCCCCGACCA